UCCGAUAUGGUGUAGUGGCCAACAUGAUGCCCUCUCACGUCCUCUGAGAGGUUAGGCAUAGCCCCGAGUUCGAUUCUCGGUUUCGGAA
rnacentral:tRNA from 1 species